UCUUACUUAGACAUACAAAGUGACGCUGAUGGAGCCGAUGAUGAGAAAUGUUUUAGUGUUUUGCUAUUGCUGUCAUCAAGACCAUCAUCGAGAGUAACUUGGAGAGGUGUGGCACAAGUGGACCAUGCCACCAGACAAAGGAACUGUAAGGCUGAGCAGGCUCAGAACCCAGAGAAUCUGAAAACUGAGGACAGCAGGAGUGGACCCACCUCCCUGCCAGGCUCUACUCACUCUGGAACAGGCCUGGAGGUUCAGAAAUGAAGAAAAAGGUUGGCCUCAUCAAUUUCGAAAUCUCAUCGUGAAAAAACUGAAAGUUCUUCAAUUCGGUUUGAAGAUGUCAGCAUAUUGUAGAAAAGUGAAGUCCUGUGCGAUCUUCCUGUGGGUCUGUAUUACGGACAACGCAGGGGCAGUACACUGCCUUUGGAGAGACCCCAUUCUCUUGGUUCCGCCCACUUCCUUUUUCCAUGAACAGCAUCACACAUUUGCAGCCGAGCAAUUUUAUCCAUCUGCUUAUGGCCAGUAACGUGGGUGAAUUGACAGC